rnacentral:piRNA from 1 species
UAAAAGACUAUGAUACUAGCUUAACUUUUA